rnacentral:rRNA from 1 species
UACGUAGGGUGCAAGCGUUAAUCGGAAUUACUGGGCGUAAAGCGUGCGCAGGCGGUCUUGCAAGACAGAUGUGAAAUCCCCGGGCUCAACCUGGGAACUGCAUUUGUGACUGUAGAGCUGGAGUGCGGCAGAGGGGGAUGGAAUUCCGCGUGUAGCAGUGAAAUGCGUAGAUAUGCGGAGGAACACCGAUGGCGAAGGCAAUCCCCUGGGCCUGCACUGACGCUCAUGCACGAAAGCGUGGGGAGCAAACAGG